rnacentral:snRNA from 1 species
GUACUCGCUUCGGCAGCACAUAUGCUAAAACUGGAACGAUAAAGAGAAGAUUAGCAUGGUCCUUGCACAAG